rnacentral:rRNA from 1 species
AUUCCAGCUCCAAUAGCGUAUAUUAAAGUUGUUGUGGUUAAAAAGCUCGUAGUUGGAUCUCAACAGCCUUGAAGCGGUUAACUUUGUAGUUUUACUGCUUUAUAGGCUGUGCUUUUGCUGGAGGUUUAGGGGUGCUCUUGAUCGAGUGUCUCUGGAUGCCAGCAGGUUUACUUUGAAAAAAUUAGAGUGCUCAAAGCAGGCUAAAAUGCCUGAAUAUUCGUGCAUGGAAUAAUAGAAUAGGAUGUCGAUCCUAUUUUGUUGGUUUUCGGGACUCGACAUAAUGAUUAACAGGGACAGUCAGGGGCACUCGUAUUCCGCCGAGAGAGGUGAAAUUCUCAGACCAGCGGAAGACGAACCGCUGCGAAAGCAUUUGCCAGGGAUGUUUUCAUCG